UACGGGAGGCAGCAGUGAGGAAUAUUGGUCAAUGGCCGAGAGGCUGAACCAGCCAUGCCGCGUGCGGGAGGACGGCCCUAUGGGUUGUAAACCGCUUUUGUUGGGGAGCAAUAAGGGCCACGAGUGACCCGAUGAGAGUACCCAGCGAAUAAGCAUCGGCUAACUCCGUGCCAGCAGCCGCGGUAAU
rnacentral:rRNA from 1 species